AACACUCUCUUCCUUCUAAAACUGCAAACUCAUUCAUUUAUCAUCUUCCAGAUCAGGCAUUCACUUGAAUCAAUUCAUUUCAUCCCGCGGAAGGAAGGACGAUUUCUGUUCGUGUGAGUUCUUAAUUGCUUAAACUUAAUUUAAACUCAUAUAUUCUAUUUUCGAACAUCUUCGUCACUUUCAUACUUCUGAACAUUUAAUUAGUGAUCGUUAUUGUUUCCGAUGGGAAUUUUAUGAAUGAUAUUCUGGAAUUUGUCUUUAUUUCUUAAGCAUUUAACUUUAACUUUCUGAAUGAUUGAUAAAUUAUAUAUAUAUAUAUAUAUAUAUAUAUAUAUUUGCAAGUUUUUUUGCUAAAUUAAUUCUUUCUCCAUUGUUAAUGUUGAAAUUGCGCUUGGUUGAGCAUCAUGCUCGAAGAUUGUUUGAUAUUUGCAAGAAUAGAUUAGCUUUUUCUCCGACUUGAUACAGUUUCUGUAAUGAGUGUUUCUCUUACCUAAAAAAGACUUUUAAGAUAUAAAGAGCAUACAGAAAUUCACAUUGAUGCUCGCAUAGUUGAGCAAGAACUUCAUAAGAAUGUCAAUAGACUCAAUACUACUAGGGGUUGGGGCAUGAGAGUUUUGGUUCUAUUGCUAGCUCGUAGUUCCAUGUUGCUUAGCUAUUUAUGAAAAGGUUGAUAUAAGGUGAUAUAUACCUUUACAUACAAGAGUUAGUCAAACUUCAAAAUUGUAUUACAACUUCAAUAAGAUUUGGCACUUUUACCUCCUCUGAAAGUUCAAUUUUGCCAUGGAAUAUGCAAAGGCAGAUGCAAAUACUAAUGGAAAAGCAAUAAGAAUUACUGCUACAAAACCUAUAUUUUCACGACGAUAACCAAAAUAACUGCCUAAGAAGGCAUUGAUUGCUUUUUCUUCUCCAAAUGCUAGUAUUUGCUUGUCCAUAUCUCCGUAUUGAGAUGUAAUAAGGCCUCUCAAGGACCAGGCUGGUGGGCAAAUCCAGUAACACCAACUCCACCAUCUUGGAAUUCUCUGUAAGAAAUCAAAAGAGAGUAGUUUGUAUCAGUGGAACUGAAAAUUUAGUUGAUAUAUGUUGGAACAAAUUCAUAUUUUCUUUUUGACAAGUACAAGCAGAUAUAUUUAUCAAUAUUGAAAUGCAAAAUGUUGUUUUCUCUGUAGAAACAUAUGUGAACUAGGAAAACGUGGUUCAUUGGUGUGUCCCAACCUGAAAAGUGGUGUUAUGGUUUGUUGAUUUCCUGUGUAACAGAUAACAUUGUGCAAGUGCAAACUACUGAUUGCAAUUGUGGUUUUCAGGGUUAAGAGAAUCAGACUUGACUUACUGGUUCAGGUAUGAGGAAUCCCGAGAAAAGACUUAUCAUGGUGUAGCAGAAGCUUGCCAUUACAGAAGCCAUUUGGAGGGAUGAGGUCAUGGAAACGAGCAACAUGCCAAGGUAAGUGAAGUAGAGCAUCGUACAGAACAUUGUGUAGAAGUACAAAAAUACUUUAUCUACAGACCAGUAGAAACCUAUUGCUGGAUAUGUGAUUAUCAGAAAUAAAACUGCUUGAAGGAAUAUAUACGGAAUUUCAAUGAUCACCUGCAACGUUGAAAAAUAAUAUUAUAUGCAGUUCAAAAAACUUAACUAUCUUUUGACUUUUAACUUUGAGAACAAUCUGUACGCUUGUGAAUAUUUCUGAACCUGUGCAAAAGAAUAAGCCCAGGAGGAGUACAUUCCAGCAAACCUCUCUCUGUAUAAAAUGGUGCGCUCAGUAGAUAUAAUUGAUAGAACAGAUGAGCAGUUGCUUAUACCCAAAAAUUGUAGAAAGAUGAACAUUGAUCCUAGUAUGUUCAGCAAAUCCUGUUCGCUAUUUCUGGAAGCAAAGAAUCACAAUUAUCAUUUUAGGUGUUGAACUUAAAGAAGUUCCAACUGCCAAAUAAAAUAAUUUAAAUAUAAAGAAUUUGAGACAUCAUUAGCACUUGCAAAGAGAACCUCCCNNNNNNNNNNNNNNNNNNNNNNNNNNNNNNNNNNNNNNNNNNNNNNNNNNNNNNNNNNNNNNNNNNNNNNNNNNNNNNNNNNNNNNNNNNNNNNNNNNNNAAGAAACUUAUUGUUGAAUGAUCUAGAAUACUAGCAGUUGUGCUGCUAGUUUUGUCUUAGAAUAAUUGUACUUUCAUACUUAGAGUGUGUGGAUGGAGUAGUAGUUCCAUGGAGAUCCAUUUGUUGAUUCAUGCUGCUCUUUUCAAGGCUACAGAAAAACUGAUUGCACUUCGUGCCAGCUGGUGACGAGGUGGUGCUUGGAUCAUCUCAGUUUUCUUGGAAGAUAAAUAAAUUUGUGCACUAUGUGACGUGACUAUAUGAAUAUACCCAAAAACCCUUCCCCACUCUCAGCAGUCACCACAUAAAUAUAUGAUAAAGCUUGCCCAAUAAGAAAAAGAAAAAGGAAAUGCUUACAUUUCUUUUCCUUUCCCCCAAAGAAUCGCUCCUAACAGCAAAGACGCCAUGGUGAUAAAUGUUAAGCGAGCCAAAUUAUAUUUAGGAUUCCUCCAAUAGGACAAGUUAUGCUUCCAGAGGCAUGCUUUAAACUGUUCCCAUCCAUUUUGCGAAAAGCAAGUAGAAAACUGUAGCUCCUUUGAAUCUUGUGGUGGAUAGCUCAGUUCUCUAGCUAGUUCCUUGGUUCUCCUACAUAAAUAAGAACGCGAAUACCUAAUUUAAUCCCUUCUUUUGGGUGGAAAACACCUUAUUUAAUAAUUUAUGUAAAAAACUGAUUAUACUGUUUAGCAAUCCGAACGGUUUCUGUCAUAUUCAUAGCAUUGACAUAGGUCUCAUAGUUGAUGUACUAUCAGUUAAUGUGGAAAUGUCAACAGUUUGGCAAUCUGGGAGAGUAUUCAUGUAUAAUUUUUAUGCUUACCGACAUAGAUGAGACUCUUUAUAUAAUUGGCCAAAGUCUAAACCAAGUCGUGCUUCUGCUGAUGAACUCGAAACCUCUAGCAUCCACGUUGCAGGGUUGUGAUUUUCCAGGAUUUUUGGCACUCCAGGAACAUUCUGCCAAUAAAAGAGAGACAAACUGUUGUUAAAUAGUUAAACUUUUAAUAUCCUUGCGUUAUUACCUUCUUUUUUAUAACAAAUAAAAUAUGAACUGCGUUUUUAUGGCACCAAUAGAAUACAAUAUUAAAUCACAAACCGCCAUACAUAAUAUAUCCUUAUAGCCCAUACAUAAUAUAUUAUGUCUAAAAAGAGUUGCAAAAUACUAUAUAUACUGGUUGUAGCAGCAACUACUUCCAAACAGUACCGAGACACUCAACCAUCUGUGCACAUGGCUAAAAUGUUAUGAAAAUACGAGUUAAAACGUCUACUAAAGGUAGCCAGUACAAAUGUAAGAAGUGGUUAAAUAUUCCACUUAAAGGUAGCCAGUACAAAUGUAAGAAGUGGUUAAAUAUUCCACUUAAUUUGAACAACAGUCAUAUCUCUUACCAUCUCACAAUAAUCUUAAAUAUAUCGAAAUCAACAUACAUGGCAAGCAAAAAUACUCAAAUAACAAUGCAGUUUUCUGGUAAGGGAAUGUUGCAAACUUGGGAAGCAGCUCUACAUCUUAUUGACAGUGAUAUUUACAUUAACAAGCAAAGACCUACUCAAUCAUCUGCUGCUUUGUUGCUUACCUCAAAAUAUUCAAUAAGUUUACUUGAAUGCUGACCCAACUCUCCAGAAUAUAUUAUUUGUCCUCCUCUCUUCAUUAGAAUUAGCUGCAGGAAACAUCAAAAGCUUUCCAAUUAUCCUAUUCUGAUCUGGAAAAGAAUAGAAAAUAAAAAAGAAAAAGGAGAAAACUGAAAUCUAUUUUCAAUAAUGGACUGGAGAAUCGAGUUACUUGACAUGUUGAGCUAAAGUGGAUUCAACCCAUGCAUUCUUCAUUUCAAUAUAAUUUCUGUAAUCAUGCAUUUAGGGUGGUGGGGGCUGCUUUUCAAAACGUGCAAGUAGUAACUGCAACAUUAGAGGUUUGACUAUACACAUUUCCUUGCUCAUGGUAAACAUAAGUUGCCGGGGUUAUGCAUGCUUAAUUGAAGACCUGUUUUUCUAUUCUUUUUUUGUUCUAUGACCUUUUAUGGUCAAGUGUACUGUGUACAGCCAUGUUGAGCUCAUUCGUUAUUAUUUAGUUACAAGUUUAUUUAUCAUCUUAGAGAUGUAAAUAAAAAACUGUCAGCAUGUCAAAUUGCAAUACUAUCUAUCAUUUUAUCUUUACAGGAAUUUUCAGGUUUUUAUUUGAUGGACUUAAUUACCUCAUCAAAUGACUCAAAUAUGUCAAUACUUGGCUGAUGAAUAGUGCACACAACCGUCCUUCUUGUAUUAACAAUAUUCUUUACUACUCUCAUGACAAUUGCAGCUGCUCUGGCAUCUAAACCAGAUGUUGGUUCAUCCAUAAAAAUUAUGGAUGGAUUUGAAACAAGCUC
rnacentral:lncRNA from 1 species